AUUAUUUUGGCAGAUUAGUGUGCUAGAUUUAGAAUUUAGAUAUGUGGGCGGGUUGGUUCACAAAUAAUA
rnacentral:tRNA from 1 species